GGGGCGUCGGUAACGACGGUGGAGUUACACCAGACUGUAAAUCUGGUACAUUAGAAACACAGGGGGUUCGAAUCCCUCACGCCCCA
rfam:Niastella yeongjuensis strain 17621 contig2, whole genome shotgun sequence.